AAAAAUGCUGAGUCGAAGUUCUUUCACACUGCUGCUCAUUGGCUUGAUGGUAUCCGAGUUCUUAAUCGGGGAUGUGAGCGGAGCACCACCCGGGAGGAACGUAAACGAAAAAGACAUGUAUGGAGAGACAGCUCUGCAUAGAGCUGCUUUUGCUGGCAAAGUGAAGGAAGCUG